rnacentral:rRNA from 1 species
UGGGGAAUAUUGCACAAUGGGCGCAAGCCUGAUGCAGCCAUGCCGCGUGUGUGAAGAAGGCCUUCGGGUUGUAAAGCACUUUCAGCGGGGAGGAAGGCGAUAAGGUUAAUAACCUUGUCGAUUGACGUUACCCGCAGAAGAAGCACCGGCUAACUCCGUGCCAGCAGCCGCGGUAAUACGGAGGGUGCAAGCGUUAAUCGGAAUUACUGGGCGUAAAGCGCACGCAGGCGGUCUGUCAAGUCGGAUGUGAAAUCCCCGGGCUCAACCUGGGAACUGCAUUCGAAACUGGCAGGCUAGAGUCUUGUAGAGGGGGGUGGAAUUCCAGGUGUAGCGGUGAAAUGCGUAGAGAUCUGGAGGAAUACCGGUGGCGAAGGCGGCCCCCUGGACAAAGACUGACGCUCAGGUGCGAAAGCGUGGGGAGCAAACAGGAUUAGAUACCUUGGUAGUCCACGCUGUAAACGAUGUCGAUUUGGAGGUUGUGCCCUUGAGGCGUGGCUUCCGGAGCUAACGCGUUAAAUCGACCGCCUGGGGAGUACGGCCGCAAGGUUA